UGUUAUUAUGGCCGAUAAUUAAUGUACUCUGUGGACAGCAACCUAUUUGGGCAUUUCAAAUCUCAAUGUAAACAAAAUGUUAUCCAAACAAACAGACAGCAGCAAGUGAAGAAUUACAGUAAACAAGACUUUUACCUACUUGGAUAACAGCGCAAGCGUCCAAAUGACAACAGAUGGUACAGACAUCUGAAAAGAAAAAAGAGCUGCAGCAAUGGGAAACAUCACAUCCUGCGAGUCUACAGGCCAGAGUGUGAGUAAGGACACUCCAAAAAAGCCGUCAUACAUAGCUAACAACAUCAAACCCAUCACUGAAGAACCCACAUAUCCUACUGCGUGAGAGACUGCCAGUGAUACCAGGUCAGCUGUUUCUACACAACACUCAGUUCGGCUACAUUGUUGCUGGCACUGCACCAUUGAACAGCGAGGGAUGUUCAUCACUACCAAGUAACUUUUGCAACUUUCCUAUUUUUUCGGGAAUACCGCCGCUGCCCCCGGGCCAUGCCUCUAUAAUGAGAAGAUCACCUGGGUGAAGAUGACGAUGCAACAUCGACAUGUCGAAGUACCCAGCGAAUGUGACGACAAAACUACUACAUGGAUUUUGAUCAACAGACAACCUGGAUAGGCAACUUUUUAAAAAUCCUAGAAUCACUACCAGAAAACUUUUUAGCUCUAAGUUUUAUUUUAACAGUUACUAGAAAAUAAAACCGAGAGCAUGUUAAAUAAAACAAACCAACACCUAUCCCAAAAGAAAUGGUAGAAACAUAAUCAACAAAAUAUAUCAUACAGGUUACCAGAUAAGGCAAGUAAUAAUGAAAAAUAAUUUAUCUAUCUUUUAUCAUUGCAUGUUAUUGUUAUAAUGUAUUUCUACCUAUGGGUACAAUAGUGGGAGUAGCCUGUAUUUAUAGUUGGUGAACAAAUUGCUUGCUAAUGAUAAGGCACGGAAUUAAAAGGGACAGUCAGAAUUGAUGGAGCAUUUACAACGUAGGUAAACAAAUUCCUACACAUAUCUCAAGUCCUACAUAUUCAGAGACAGUCAUAUAAGAAAGGGAAUGACUGUUUAUAACCACAAUAGCCGAAACUGAUGUGGCAUUUCUCAAAAAUUAAACCGGGGGAAAUUACAAAGAUCUUAUCAAUGCUAUGUAAAAAUUGGAUAUUAUCUAUUAAGUUUUGUAUUGACUUACCUGUAAUUCUAUUGUACACAAGCACCAAAACAAAACCAAAAGCUAGUAACUUUUUACAAACACUCAGCACCAAAAACAGCACAACGAAACGAAGAGGCUCUUGUUAGCACUGACAGUUCCGUUCCGUUCGCAGGUCGAUCGACGCGGAGAGGUUAGCCACGGAAUGCGCAAUGUUUUGACUAUGCGCAUUGACCUUCAUUAAUGCCAUGCGCACUAAUUAUUUCCAAUAUUGUAGUUUAAUAAUUGAAUUAGCAGAAUAUUUAACAAGACAGAAAUUAAAACCCUAAAGAAUACGUAUGUUUAUAAAAAUGAAAACAGCUGUAUUUAUUUUAACUCUUUGGACACAUGGCGCCAUCUGUUGCCGAGUAGCGGUAAUAAUAGCGACACCUGUUGUCGAGUAGUAGUAACAAUGAGUUAGUGCAGUGAGAGUGAAGUGAACGUAACAAUUAUAUUAUUUAUAUAUAUUUUAAUAUUUAUAGGUUCUAUUUAAGUUUAGGUUUAUUAGUAGAUCACAUUUUAUUCUGUUUUAUUUAAUAAAGUAUGCUCUUACUUAAAAGAGCUAUGAUAUAAUUCAAGCUAUCGAUUUUAACUGUUGUAUCCAUAUUCUGAUUGAUAAAUAAUAAAUUUAGAAAUAUCA